GCAUUCAAUCUUUCUUCCUUGAGGCGAAUUUAAGGAGUGUUCAGUGUCGCAAAACUAAUUUGUGUUUCAUUUCAACAUUUAAUAGCUAUGAUUUCAAGUCUGGAUGAUUUUGUCCGGCAAAAUAAGAGCCGUGCAUUGAUUCAAUGUCGAGUCGCAGCAUAAGUGAAGCAACUCAAAGGCUGCUAGCAUGACGCAGGAUAUGAAAAGCUCAAAUACACCUGUGCUUCGAGUGUAGGCAAUUCAGACCAGACCAUGCCUUUUCAAAUAGGACAAUGUUAGAGUAUCGAGCAUGAUAAUAGUAAUACCUGGAAAUACACUCAAAUUUCAGCUAACAAAACAGAUUUCGUUCAUCUCAACUAUGCUAUGUUCAACUGGCACUAUGUGAAGAGUCCUUAUAAAACAAAAUAAAUAAUAUGAAAACAAAGAGAUAGAAGUGGGAAUCAUAUUAAUGUUACUUAUCACUUUUUAAAUGAUCAAGAAAAUCAUUGUCUAUUGGCCUAGAUGUGGAAAGGAUUCUAAGAAAUUGCAGUGUCCCACUGUACAAUAAUGAAAGUAGCCCUUCAGGGCAAAUCGUGUUUCUUGGAUCGAAAUACAACUUUUCUUCUUUAUGCAAUUGGUAUUUUAUGUGAAAGUAUAAACAUCUUUUUGUUAAUUAACUAUCCUGCUAAUGUACUGAAGCUGAAGCAUAAAAGCAUCGUAUGGAAAGACAAAAUUCCGAAAAAUUCUACGUAAAUGUUCAAACUGAAGGAUUUCCAUAAAUCUAGUAAAAAACCUUGACUGUUGCAGCUGGAGUAUCUAUGUACGUGGUUGUUUGGUUGUAUGAAAUGUAUUGGAGAUCAGUAAAUGGCUUUACUUGCGCAGUUGUAGAAGACUUUCAUUCUCUUGGCAUUGGCACUUGGUAAUGAUAGAUGAAAUUGUUUCAGUUGCAGAUCUGAGCGCAAUUAAUUUGGUCAAACAGUUUCAACAAAGCUUUCACUUUCUGCGAUGCAAAACGGAGUAAAAUCAAAGCAAACAUACUCAAGGAGUAAGGAUACCGUGAAAAAAAGGUGGACAAAAAUUUUCUUACCAUCGCAAGCUAGAACAAGGAAUUCGUGUUCUGGUGUUAAAUCUUUAACAAUGACGUCGGGCCAUGCUGUAAAAUGGGUGUGUUUUUAUUUCACUUUAACAUACAAUCAACUAGCGUAAAAAGAAAUCUUCAGCCGAUGUAAUCAUAACACAAAUUGUAGCUAUUUUUGAAGAAUAUUGAAUAUUUCCAUUUCCAUGAUUAUCACAAAAGUACAAGGAAUAAAGCCGAAUAACCACGUGGAUUGUUA